UACGUAGGGUGCGAGCGUUGUCCGGAAUUACUGGGCGUAAAGCGCACGUAGGCGGCUCGUUAAGUCGGAUGUGAAAGCCCCGGGCUCAACCCGGGAAGUGCAUACGAAACUGGCGAGCUUGAGUAUGGAAGAGGGUCGCGGAAUUCCCGGUGUAGAGGUGAAAUUCGUAGAUAUCGGGAGGAACACCAGUGGCGAAGGCGGCGACCUGGGCCAAUACUGACGCUCAUGCACGAAAGCGUGGGGAGCAAACAGG
rnacentral:rRNA from 1 species